UUCAUUGAAACCUCAUGCAAUCUCAAUUCUCUGCCUUACAGUGUACUGCAAAUUGUGAAUCAUAAGGAAGAAGAUGAAAGAAUUUUUUUUGACAAGAACUCGAUGUUCCUUAAAUGGACUCACUGGUCUUUGAGGAUGUAGCUGUGAACUUCACCUGGGAGGAGUGGGUUUCACUAGAUUCCUCACAGAAGAAACUCUACAGAGAUGUUAUGUUGGAAAACUUCAGAAACAUUGUCUCGAAGCAGAAUGGAAACAUCAUGGCAUUGAAAGUCAGUCCAGAAACCAGGGGAGUAAAUUAAGAAGUCCUAUGAUAGAAUCUCUGAAAAGAAAGAUAUUAAUUCCUGUGGAGAAAGCACCAAACUUCUUCUAACUCCCAAUGUAAAGAGAACUCUUGAUUUAAAACCAUGGGAAUGCAGAGCAUGUGGAAAGUCUUCAUGUAUUAUUCAUCCCUUACUAGAUACAUGAAAUAUCAUGCUGAAAACAGACCAGGAGAGCAUCAAAAGUACCACGAGAAGGUAUAUAAAUGUCAAGAAUGUGGGUUAGCAUUCAUUCAUCCUAGUUCUCUUAAAACACAUGAAAGGAGACAUGCAGGGGAGAAAACCUAUGAAUGUCAGAUAUGUGAGAAAGUAUUCAUUUAUUCCAGUUAUCUUCAGAUGCAUGAAAGCACUCAUAAGGGAGAUAAACCCUAUCAAUGUAAACAAAAUAGAAGAAGCUUUGAAAGUCUUGAAACUGUUGAAAUACCUGGAAGAAUUCAAGAGAAGAAACCCUAUGAAUGUAAACAGUGUGGUAAAGCCUUCAAACAUUUCAGAUCCUUCCAGGGACAGAAAAGACAUCACACCGGAGAGGGUAUGUAUCAUGCAUACACAGGGUAUGUAUGUAAAACAUGUUCUAAAGUAUUCGAUAAUGCCUGGUCUCUUAGAGAUCAUCAACGAAUUCACACUGGAGUAAAACCCUACAAGUGUAGGAAUGUGGGAAAGCCUUCACAUUGAAAAAAACCCUUAAGCAACACGUGAUAACACACACACUGGAGAUGGACCUUAUAAAUGUAAAGAACGUAAGAGAGUUUUCAUUGAUCGCAGUUUUCUUAAAAUACAUGAAAGAGUCACACUGGAGAGAAACCCUAUGAAUGUGAACAGUGUGGAAAAGUCUUUUGAUAUCAAAAAUCCUUCCAACAACACAAAAGAAUGCAUAUAGGUGAGAAACCCUAUGAAUGUAAAGAAUGUGGGAAAACCUUCACUUGGCAUAUAACUUCAAAAAUCCAUGGUAACACACACUGGAGAUCUACCUUAUAAAUGUCAGAAAUGUGAGAAAGCAUUUCUUUAUCCCAGUUUUCUUUGAAUACAUGAAAGGAGUCACACUGGAAAGAAACUGUAUGAAUGUAAAGAAUGUGGGAAAAGCUUCCUGUGAUAUUCAGCUUUUUGAAAACAUGGUAACGCACUCUGGAUAUUUACCAAAUAAAUGUCAGAAAUGUGAGAAAGCAUUUUUUUAUCCCAGUCAUCUUUGAAUGCAUGAAAGUAUUCACAAUGGAGAGAAGCCCUAUCAGUGUAAACAAUGUGGAAAAACCUUUAAAUGUCCUAAAAGUGUCCGAAUACAUGAAAGAAUUCACAGAGGCGAUAAAUGCUAUGAAUGUAAGUGAUGUGGUAAAGUCUUCAAUUAUUUCAAUGACUCCCAGGUCCACAAAAGACAUCAUACAGGAGAGACACCAUGUGUAUGUAAAACAUGUUCUAAAGUAUUGAGUAGUGCCUGCCCU